UGGGGAAUCUUGGUCAAUGGGCGCAAGCCUGAACCAGCGACGCCGCGUGAGUGAUGAAGGCCUUCGGGUUGUAAAGCUCUGUGGGGCGAGACGAAAAAGCCGUUUCUAAUAGGAGCGGUAUUGACGGUAUCGCCUUAGCAAGCACCGGCUAACUCUGUGCCAGCAGCCGCGGUAAGACAGAGGGUGCAAACGUUGCUCGGAAUCACUGGGCGUAAAGGGCGUGUAGGCGGGAAGGUAAGUCAGAUGUGAAAUCCCCAGGCUCAACCUGGGAACUGCAUUUGAAACUGCCUUUCUUGAGUAUCGGAGAGGAAAGUGGAAUUCCUGGUGUAGAGGUGAAAUUCGUAGAUAUCAGGAGGAACACCGGCGGCGAAGGCGGCUUUCUGGACGAUUACUGACGCUGAGACGCGAAAGCGUGGGGAGCAAACAGGAUUAGAUACCCCCGUAGUCC
rnacentral:rRNA from 1 species